UACAUGUCUGUUUUUUUCCUUAAUACUGUGGUCUACAUUUAUUUACUAGCACAAUGUUUUACUCGUCGUUGUUUUAUUUUAACUUUAAGCUCCUUAUUUUAACACUCGAGUUUUGUUGUGAGCUGUUCAAGCUAACGAUUUGUGAGAAUCAUGGCAGAGACAGACGAGGCUGACGUUCAAACGAAGAAAAGCAAAACCCUCAUCGUACGACAUCUGCCCAGAGAACUCACCAGAGAUGAAAAAGAGGAUCUCCUGAAAUAUUUUGGUGCCUCGUCUGUCAGAGUGCUGUCAGAGAAAGGACCGCUAAAACAUAUGGCAUUUGCAACCUUUAGCAGUGAGACCUCAGCCUCUAAGGCAUUGAACAGACUUCAUCAGCUGAGAAUCCUUGGUCACACACUAGUGGUUGAGUUUGCGAAAGAUCAAGACCAUGUCACUGUUUUGAAAGACCCACCAGUGUCUAAGAGUGGUGUUGGUGCUCAGUCUGAGAAGGGGAAGAAAGAAAAACAACAAAACAAUGUUCCUCUGGUGGACAACAGCAUUGCUCCCAGUCUGGGGUUGAAAUUUCAGACAAAUCCAACGCUGAAAUAUUUAUACCCUCCUCCUUCAAGUGGAAUUUUGACAAACAUUACACACACUCUUCUGAGCGUGCCCAAGUUCUACGUUCAAGUUCUUCACCUGAUGAAUAAGAUGAACCUUCCCUGCCCGUUUGGACCAAUGACGGCUCCUCCGCCAAUGUUUGAGAUGCCUCCAGGCCCACUGCCGCCCAUGCCCCCACCCUUCCCCCCAGAGAACCCUCCUCUCCCGGAGCACGAGGAGGGGGCGUCCGGCAAUGAAGAAGAAUCUGAGUACGAAAGUGGAGAUGAGGAGGACAAGGAGAGGAUGAUCAGACUGAUGGGCCUCGUUAACCAGCCAUGCAAAAGACCGUUGAGAACAAAGACUUCUUCCAAGAGAAAGAAACCCAAACUAAAAGACCUCCUGUUUAUUCCCAAACCAGAGUCCCACGGCCCCUCAGGCCCAGCCCUGCAGCCAUCAGACGUGUUCGAGCAACCUCAAACGCUUGGACAGAAAAAGAUUGAGUUCCAUAUAUCGGCUGAGGUGUCCACCAUCCUCGAGGGUCCCAGACAGAAUCAGGAACCACAAUUCACAGAGGCGAGCGAAGACACGGCAGAGUUGGAGGUUUCCGUUCAGGACACUGCAGAAGGGUUUGGGAAAAUCUACCCAAGCGCUCAGGUCCCCAGACUCGAGGAACAGAGGGAGGAAGAUGAGGACAUCCCCACGGAGUUCAUCUCUAGGAGAGAGCUAGAGAGAGGGAGACUCUCCAGAGACGAGAUGAAAAAAAUGUCUGUGUUUAAAAAUUAUGAACCUGGAGAGCCAACCUGCAGACUUUAUGUUAAAAAUGUUGCAAGGCAAGUUGAGGAAAAAGAUCUGAAGUUCAUCUACGGCCGGUAUAUCGACAUCUCCUCAGAGGAGGAGAGAAACAUGUUUGAUAUUGUUUUGAUGAAAGAGGGGAGGAUGAAAGGUCAGGCCUUCAUCGGGCUCCCCAGCGAGAGAAGCGCAGAGAAGGCCUUAAAGGAAACCAAUGGAUAUGUUCUCAGCGACAAACCUCUUGUGGUGCAAUUUGCCCGAUCUGCAAAACCUAAACCGGAAUCUGCUGACCCAAAGAAAGGAGGGAAAAAACACUGAACUGGUGGGUUAAAAGGCCAAUUUUUGUAUUUAUGUAUAUAUUUUUUUAGAACUGUCUGUUGAAGUGGGUGGGUGACCAAUGUACUGAUCAUUUUUCUUUAUAAAUUAUUAUAACUGGUUUGGAUAGCCUCUUGAUCUUGAAGCUUGAAGAUUGAUUUUGAUUUGAUUUUUGAUUUUUUUUGUGUCCAGAUACAUUUUAACCCAACAUUUCUAUUUGUUUAAGAUGAUGUUGAUGUACAAUCAUGAGCCUACAGGAGCUCCAUCUUUACUUCAUAUCCUUUAAAAUAUCCUUUAAAAGAGUUCUUAAAUUGCUUGCUUUGGUAAAAAAAAAAUAUAAAAAAAAUAUAUAUAUAUAAUUCUUCCAAAUGUCAAGCAAUGUUUUUUUUAUGUUACAUUACACAUAAAGCUUGUUAUUAAUAUUUUUCCCUCCAAUUUUAUUGCAGAAGGCUGCUGUUGAGCUCUGUUGGACAGGAGUUCAUCAUUGAUUGAUGUUGCAAAAGGUUGGAUCCUGAUGUUUAAUGGUACCAGUAUUGUUCUGCACGCACAACAUGUGCCUUUGAUGUGAAGGAGAAUAAAUUUAGAAGUCGCUAUCAGUCAGCCAGCUCAUCUUCCAGCAGCACAGCAACAGAUGGUGCUGUCAAUACAGCAGAGCUCAGACAAACACAAACACUACACAAGAAAGACUGUGACCAGGGCUGGCCCGACUCGAAGAUUAGCUGUUAUUUGUUCACUGUACUUUAGUCUGAGAUCUAAGAUUCUCAAGACGCAUUGUGCCAGGUUUGAUUUCAGGGACGCCAAAUGCUAUUGCUUUUCAUGAUCAGUCAUGAUGCUCAGUCAUGAUCUGUCUUGACACUGUUAUUAUGCAUGAAUGAGAUUUGAGAUUUUACUAUGUCUUACUAUCUUUUUUUGUUGUUGUUGUAAGGAAGUACUAGAUCAAGUGAUUAAGGGUUCAACAUAAACCACACAGGUCAAAAGUUUGGAGUGAUUUAUUAAUGGAUGAAAACGUUUCACCAAGGCUGCUUUUAUAUACAUUAAACCGUAAUAUUGUGAAAUAUUACAAUUUAGAAUCCAUUUUAAUUUUGAAGCUAAUUUACUAUUUUAUCUGUUGAUGAAUGGGAAGUUCAAAGGAAUCUUUAACAUUUAUUUGAAAUAGAAAAUUUUUGUGACAUUAUGAAUGUCUUCAAAUCUAUUUAUUUCUUCCUUGUUGAAUUAAAAGCAUGAAUACAUUUUUUACAUUUCUUUCUUUAGUAUUCAAAUAAAUAAAAAAAAUCUUGCUUACCCCAAACUUUUGAAUGGUAGCAGAUCAUGGUUUUCAGAAAAUCAUUAAGCAGAAAAAACAGUUUUCAAUAUUGAUAAUGCGAACAAAUUUUGGAUGUGCAUUAAAUCAGUAUAUUAGAAUGAUUUCUUAAGGAUCAUGUGACACUUUAUACCAGAAUAAUGACUGCUGAUAUUCCUCUUUGCCAUUACAGGAAUACAUUAGAAAACAGUUCUUUUAAACUGUAGUGAUAUUCCACAAUUAUAUUGAUUUCACUUUAUUUUUGAUCAAUUAAAUUCAGCCUUGGUGAGCAAAAGGUCUUUCGAAAACAUCAAGGAAUCUUAAUUGGUCCAAACUUUUGACCUGUUGUGUGUAGAAUAUUGUGGCGGGUCAUACGAAGCCCAUCUGAUAUUCAAAUACUCUUGAUUGGUUUGCCUAGAUGAGAAAAAAAAAAAAUUCAAGUUUCCAGCUGUGUCCAAUGGCAUUCCCAACAAGGGCCCUUUUAUCACUUUUGAAAUUAUUCCUGAUAAAUGUCUUGGUAAUUCUCAAUAUUUCCACGGCGGUUGGUGCAUUUGUCAUCAUUGAAGUCAGUGGCAGAGUAUCUCACAGAUGGGAACUCCUCACGGGUGGCAUUGAAGUACGAGCCGCAGGUCGAGUGCCUCCUCUCCCCUACGCCCGACGCACAUGUGUGAUUGAUGACAACGUCUGUGUAGAUCUUCACCUGCAGGAGCCACAUCGGUUCAUUACCAUGAGCCCACAGCACAACACUGCCUACCAGGACACAUCAAAGGACACUGCUGCGCUUUCCUAUCUACAGUGGGAACGCAAUGAGGGAAUCAAAGGGCUUUGGAGCUCUAAUACAAGGAGAGCAGUUUUAAUAAGGAAAUCUGUAUUUAAAGGAAUAUAAUUCAGGACAUCACUUGGGCAGGACAACUGGGACCAUUAUCCCAUGUCCAAAGGGAGGGGGUCCACUCACAAAAAUGUGUUUUCACAAAAAUGUGAUUUAUAUUUUAACUAACAUGUGUUGGUUUUUAAUCUACUAUUGGUAGGUGGCAAAUUUUGCUACAGGACUA